rnacentral:rRNA from 1 species
UGAGGAAUAUUGGUCAAUGGGCGAGAGCCUGAACCAGCCAAGUAGCGUGCAGGAUGACGGCCCUAUGGGUUGUAAACUGCUUUUAUAUGGGAAUAAAGUGAGGGACGUGUCCCUUAUUGCAUGUACCAUAUGAAUAAGGACCGGCUAAUUCCGUGCCAGCAGCCGCGGUAAUACGGAAGGUCCAGGCGUUAUCCGGAUUUAUUGGGUUUAAAGGGAGCGUAGGCCGUUUGGUAAGCGUGUUGUGAAAUGUAGGAGCUCAACUUCUAGAUUGCAGCGCGAACUGUCAGACUUGAGUGCACACAACGUAGGCGGAAUUCAUGGUGUAGCGGUGAAAUGCUUAGAUAUCAUGAAGAACUCCGAUUGCGAAGGCAGCUUACGGGAGCGCAACUGACGCUGAAGCUCGAAGGUGCGGGUAUCGAACAGG